ensembl:misc_RNA Metazoa_SRP Metazoan signal recognition particle RNA
GCUGAGCAUAGUGGCACACGCCUGUAGUCCCAGCUACACAAGAGGCUGAGGCAGGAGGAUCACUUAAGUCCAAGAGUUCUUGGCUGUAGUGUACUAUGCCAAUUGUAUGUCCAUGUUAAGUUCAGCGUCAAUAUGGUGACCUCUCAGACCUUAGGAGCUGGGGACUACCAGGUUGCCUAAGGAGAGGUGAACUGGCCCAGAUCGGAAACAGCAGGUCAGAACUCCCAUGCUGAUCAGUACUGGGAUCGAGCCUGUAAAUAGCCACUGCACUCCAGCCUGGGCAACAAAGUAGAAACCCAUCUCUA